rnacentral:rRNA from 1 species
UAGGGAAUCUUCGGCAAUGGACGGAAGUCUGACCGAGCAACGCCGCGUGAGUGAAGAAGGUUUUCGGAUCGUAAAGCCCUGUUGUUAGAGAAGAACGUUGGUAGGAGUGGAAAAUCUACCAAGUGACGGUAACUAACCAGAAAGGGCCGGCUAACUACGUGCCAGCAGCCGCGGUAAUACGUAGGUCCCGAGCGUUGUCCGGAUUUAUUGGGCGUAAAGCGAGCGCAGGCGGUUCUUUAAGUCUGAAGUUAAAGGCAGUGGCUAAACCAUUGGACGCGUUGGAAACUGGAGGACUUGAGGGCAGAAGGGGAGAGGGGAAUUCCAGGUGUAGCGGUGAAAGGCGUAGAUAUAUGGAGAAACACCGGGGGCGAAAGCGGCUCUCUGGUCUGUAACUGACGCGGAGGCUCGAAGGCGUGGGGGGCAAACAGG